GUCAAGUUAGUUUAAAUUAAAAUAUCAGCCUGUGGAUUUGAAGAUAAAACCCUAUUUUACUUGACC
rnacentral:tRNA from 1 species